rnacentral:misc_RNA from 1 species
ACAAAUCAUGAUAGAACCUUUCGGUUCUAUAUAUACCCCAAGCUUGGGAAGAACUUCGGUUCGGAACGGCUUUGGUUGCAGCCCUCCGGGGCUGUAGGUCGGGCUGUCGCAAGACAGCCUAGCCACAUAGACGCUUGUAUGUUUGACAGAGUUUAGUUGCUAUUAAAAAAUA